UAGUCCAAAGGGUCAUUUUUGUUUACUAUGGCCUCAAGAAAUGUGGCCCUUGAUCC
rnacentral:lncRNA from 1 species